rnacentral:rRNA from 1 species
GUGUCAGCAGCCGCGGUAAUACGUAGGGCGCAAGCGUUGUCCGGAAUUAUUGGGCGUAAAGAGCUCGUAGGCGGCUUGUCACGUCGGAUGUGAAAGCCCGGGGCUUAACCCCGGGUCUGCAUUCGAUACGGGCUAGCUAGAGUGUGGUAGGGGAGAUCGGAAUUCCUGGUGUAGCGGUGAAAUGCGCAGAUAUCAGGAGGAACACCGGUGGCGAAGGCGGAUCUCUGGGCCAUUACUGACGCUGAGGAGCGAAAGCGUGGGGAGCGAACAGGAUUAGAUACCCUGGUAGUCCACGCCGUAAACGUUGGGAACUAGGUGUUGGCGACAUUCCACGUCGUCGGUGCCGCAGCUAACGCAUUAAGUUCCCCGCCUGGGGAGUACGGCCGCAAGGCUAAAACUUAAAUGAAUUGACGG